AACGAACGCUGGCGGCAGGCUUAACACAUGCAAGUCGAGCGCCCCGCAAGGGGAGCGGCAGACGGGUGAGUAACGCGUGGGAACGUGCCCUUUGGUUCGGAACAACUCCGGGAAACUGGAGCUAAUACCGGAUAAGCCCUUCGGGGGAAAGAUUUAUCGCCAAAGGAUCGGCCCGCGUCUGAUUAGCUAGUUGGUGAGGUAAUGGCUCACCAAGGCGACGAUCAGUAGCUGGUCUGAGAGGAUGAUCAGCCACACUGGGACUGAGACACGGCCCAGACUCCUACGGGAGGCAGCAGUGGGGAAUAUUGGACAAUGGGCGCAAGCCUGAUCCAGCCAUGCCGCGUGAGUGAUGAAGGCCUUAGGGUUGUAAAGCUCUUUUGUCCGGGAAGAUAAUGACUGUACCGGAAGAAUAAGCCUCGGCUAACUUCGUGCCAGCCGCCGCAGUAAGAC
rnacentral:rRNA from 1 species